AUUGAACGCUGGCGGCAUGCCUUACACAUGCCAGUCGAACGGCAGCGCGGGAGCAAUCCUGGCGGCGAGUGGCGAACGGGUGAGUAAUACAUCGGAACGUGCCCAAUCGUGGUGGAUAACGCAGCGAAAGCUGUGCUAAUACCGCAUACGAUCUACGGAUGAAAGCAGGGGAUCGCAAGACCUUGCGCGAAUGGAGCGGCCGAUGGCAGAUUAGGUAGUUGGUGAGGUAAAGGCUCACCAAGCCUUCGAUCUGUAGCUGGUCUGAGAGGACGACCAGCCACACUGGGACUGAGACACGGCCCAGACUCCUACGGGAGGCAGCAGUGGGGAAUUUUGGACAAUGGGCGAAAGCCUGAUCCAGCCAUGCCGCGUGCAGGAUGAAGGCCUUCGGGUUGUAAAAUGCUUUUGUACGGAACGAAACGGUCUUUUCUAAUAAAGAAGGCUAAUGACGGUACCGUAAGAAUAAGCACCGGCUAACUACGUG
rnacentral:rRNA from 1 species